rnacentral:tRNA from 2 species
GGCGCAGUGCCGUAAUGGUUAGCGGAACGGUUUGCUAAAUCGUCCAUCAGAAAUGAUGUGCAGGUUCGAAUCCUGCCUGCGUCG